rnacentral:rRNA from 1 species
UCAAAUUUGAAAUCUGGCUUUCGGGUCCGAGUUGUAAUUUGUAGAGGAUGCUUUUGGUGCGGUGCCUUCCGAGUUCCUUGGAACAGGACGCCUUAGAGGGUGAGAGCCCCGUACGGUUGGACACCAAGCCUUUGUAAAGCUCCUUCGACGAGUCGAGUAGUUUGGGAAUGCUGCUCUAAAUGGGAGGUAAAUUUCUUCUAAAGCUAAAUACCGGCCAGAGACCGAUAGCGCACAAGUAGAGUGAUCGAAAGAUGAAAAGUACUUUGAAAAGAGGGUUAAAUAGCACGUGAAAUUGUUGAAAGGGAAGCGUUUAUGACCAGACCUUUGUCAGGCGGAUCAUCCGGUGUUCUUCACCGGUGCACUUCGCCUGGCUUAGGCCAGCAUCGAUUUCUGUAGGGGGAUAAAGACCAUGGGAACGUAGCUCUCUUCGGGGAGUGUUAUAGCCCUAGGUGUAAUACCUUUACGGGGAUCGAGGUUCGCGCUUCUGCAAGGAUGCUGGCGUAAUGGUCAUCAAUGACCCGUCUUGAAACACGGACCAAGGAGUCGAACAUUUAUGCAAGUGUUUGGGUGUUAAACCCUCACGCGUAAUGAAAGUGAACGGAGGUGAGAGCCUUGUAUUAGGUGCAUCAUCGACCGAUCCUGAUGUAUUCGGAAGGAUUUGAGUAAGAGCAUAACUGUUCGGACCCGAAAGAUGGUGAACUAUGCGUGGAUAGGGUGAAGC